AGUAAAAGAGACAAGAAAAGAGAAAGAGAGAUAGGACGAGUCCUGUAAAGUAUAAAAAUUACGACGUAGAAUCAUUGCGAAACACAUUUAGUGAGUUACCUGUCUAAGAAAGACAACGUACGUGUUUUACAACGUAAAAACAAAAGUGUUGUUCAUCGUUAUUAUAUUUUUUUUUUUUUUUUAGACGAGGUCUCGAGUAAAGACGUGCUUGC